GGAAGGAUCAUUCACACUGCCUGCUUGCGGGCUGUCCGGUGACUCCGCUGAGUUCGAAUUGUUUGAUGGUUGAAUGUAACUGUCGUUCGAUAUGAACUCUGAUGGGUUAUCAUAAAAGUCGCCAUACGCCAGGAAUUGCGAUGAGCUCUCCGAGCUUGGACUCUACCGGUAUGGAUGAUGAGUUCCAAUGAGCAGAUCAACAGCAGCUUGGCUGCUGCGAUUUGGGACGCUUUAUGAUAACAACCCGUGGUUCGAUGUUGAUGCUGAAAGUCAAGCAACUUUCUGCAUUGCUUGUAUCACACCUUACCGCUAUAUUAAAGGUUUGUAAAAUAUUGAAGGUGAACUGCGGUUCUGGCCGGUUAUAUUUUACUACUCCAGUAUGCGAAACAAAAACAUUCAAACAUACCCUUAACGAUGGAUACCUCAGCUCGUGAAGCGAUGAAGGACGCAGCAAAGUGCGAUAAGCACUGUGAAUUGCAGAUUUCCGCGAACCAGUAGAUAUCUGAACGCAUUAUGCGCGAAAGGGGUUUACUCCUUUUGCAGGUAUGUAUCAGCGUCAUUAAUGAAUCCCCCUGCAUAUCUCCGGAUAUUGCUGAGGAGUUUGAGUACUCGUAUAUGAAGACCAAAUGCUGAAAGGUGUAUUGCUAUUCAUAUAGGAAAGGCUCAGUUUCGUGCGAUACAUCGUCUUGACGAAGUACGCAUGCAUUAAAUGGUUGGACACUGCCGUUCUUGUAACGUUUGGUGCCAGUCGCAGAUGGUAGUCGACUUGAUCGCAAGAUUAUGGUUGUCCAUGCGGAAUUAGGAGGGUUUCUCUGCUAAUGCCAAAGGUCAAUCAUUAACUAAGCAAUUGAUGAUACUAACGUCAGUAAUUAUCGACCUGAUACAUGCCAGACAACCCGCUGAAUUUAAGCAUAUAAGUAAGCGGAGGAAAAGAAACUAACUAGGAUUCCCUUAGUAACGGCGAGUGAACAGGGAAAAGCUCAAUGCCCAAUCCUUGUCUAUGACUGGGAAAUGUGGUUUGGGUGGGUGACCAGCGUAGUUCUCGGUGAAAGUCUCCUGGAACGGAGCGCCAUGGAGGGUGACAGCCCCGUUCAUCACUGAGGUAACUAUGCGUACGAUCCCUGCUGAAAGAGUCGCGUACUUUGGGAUAAGUGUGCUAAAGGGUGGUAAGUUCCAUCCAAAGCUAAAUAUGACCACGAGACUGAUAGCGAACAAGUACCGUGAGGGAAAGGCGAAAAGAACUUUGAAAAGAGAGUUAAAAGUGCUUGAAAUCGUUAAGGGUGAAGCGAAUAUCGUGGUUGAAUAUGCCCAUUCGCGGGUUGCUGUCUGUUGGGAGUUUGUUUGUGUAUGUCAGGGCAACCGAUCAUAUGUGCAACAUUCUUUCAGGAGGUAGUGUUCCCGAGUUUGGGAUGGUAGCGCCAACCCAGUUUUUGGAGGCAAAGCCGCUAAUGUGUAUCAAGGCUUCGGUCUUCGGUGCCCUUUGUGGUCAUCCCAAAACGAGGUUGCUCACCAAGAAAAUUCUUUUAAAGGUUCGCUCUGCUACACUUCAAUUCGAUGCCAUUGGUAUCGUAAGGUCGGAUAGGAGGACGAUGCCGGAAUGGAGUUUUCGAGUGCUGCAAACAACAGUGAUAUUUGUCCCGUCUUGAAACACGGACCAAGGAGUCUAACGUAUGUGCGAGUGUGUGGAUAGAAAAUCCAUGUGCGUAAUGAAAGUGAUCACAGAGAAUGCGCGUUCGCGUGUAUGCAUCUGUGGCCGACCUUGAUCUUCGGAGACAGGUUUGAGUAUGAGCACAUCCGUUAGGACCCGAAAGAUGGUGAACUAUGCCGGAGUAGGGUGAAGCCAGGGGAAACUCUGGUGGAGGCUCGUAGCGAUACUGACGUGCAAAUCGUUCGCCAAACUUCGGUAUAGGGGCGAAAGACUAAUCGAACCAUCUAGUAGCUGGUUCCCCC
rnacentral:misc_RNA from 1 species